CAUUGACAACCUGCACACAGCGCGGUUGUAAUUAAAACCCCCAACUAGCGACACAGACGUCUUGCACGCACUUGCACCUUGCUGUCAGCACUAGCAGAGGCACAGCAGCACACAACCUGGCAAGAAGGAAAAGCAAGCACUAUAUAACCUUUGCUAAACACUCUUACUAACCAUGGAAGACCAGAACUCCGUCGACCCUAACAACAACGGCGAGUCGGAUGAGGUAAUUAUUAUAGCUAACCAUAAACCCUUCUCAUUUUCUAGACAACGCUAGCCUGUCUUGUGACAAUAUGCUCUGACAUGUCUCGGACAACUAAUACUUUUAAUUGUUUGUUUUGUGGAUUUAGGUUCGAACUUUGUUUGUGAGUGGUUUACCGGCUAAUGUCAGAUCCAGAGAGAUAUAUCUAUUAUUCCGUGCCUAUAAGG
rnacentral:lncRNA from 1 species